GACGAACGCUGGCGGCGUGCCUAAUACAUGCAAGUAGAACGCAGUUUAGACCGGGUGAGUAACGUGUAGGUAACUGCCUCAUAGCGGGGGAUAACUAUUUGCAACGAUAGCUAAUACCGCAUACUGUGAGCUGGACCUGCGUUGUAUUAGCUAGUUGGGGAGGGAAAGGCUCACCAAGGCGACGAUACAUAGCCGACCUGAGAGGGGGAUCGGCCAUACCGGGACUGAGGCAAGGGCCAGACUCCUACGGGAGGCAGCAGUAGGGAAUCUUAGGAAAUGGAGGGAAGGCUGACCGAGCAAAGCCGCGGGAGUGAAGAAGGGUUUCGGAGCGUAAAGCUCCGUUGUGAGAGGAGCGGUAACUAACGAGAAAGGGACGGCUAACUACGUGCCAGCAGCCGCGGUAAUUC
rnacentral:rRNA from 1 species